AAAAUCAGCUGGGGGAGCCCCGACAGCGGGGCUGAGAUGGCGCAGCGGCGCCGACCCUUUGAACCUGAUGCAGGUCAUACUGCCGUAGGGAAAGCGCGACAACAAAGCC
rnacentral:ncRNA from 1 species